rnacentral:rRNA from 1 species
GCAGUCGAGCGGUAGAGAGAGCUUGCUUCUCUUGAGAGCGGCGGACGGGUGAGUAAUGCCUAGGAAUCUGCCUGGUAGUGGGGGAUAACGUUCGGAAACGGACGCUAAUACCGCAUACGUCCUACGGGAGAAAGCAGGGGACCUUCGGGCCUUGCGCUAUCAGAUGAGCCUAGGUCGGAUUAGCUAGUUGGUGAGGUAAUGGCUCACCAAGGCGACGAUCCGUAACUGGUCUGAGAGGAUGAUCAGUCACACUGGAACUGAGACACGGUCCAGACUCCUACGGGAGGCAGCAGUGGGGAAUAUUGGACAAUGGGCGAAAGCCUGAUCCAGCCAUGCCGCGUGUGUGAAGAAGGUCUUCGGAUUGUAAAGCACUUUAAGUUGGGAGGAAGGGCAUUAACCUAAUACGUUAGUGUUUUGACGUUACCGACAGAAUAAGCACCGGCUAACUCUGUGCCAGCAGCCGCGGUAAUACAGAGGGUGCAAGCGUUAAUCGGAAUUACUGGGCGU